rnacentral:rRNA from 1 species
GAUGAACGCUAGCUACAGGCUUAACACAUGCAAGUCGAGGGGCAGCAUGGUCUUAGCUUGCUAAGGCCGAUGGCGACCGGCGCACGGGUGAGUAACACGUAUCCAACCUGCCGUCUACUCUUGGACAGCCUUCUGAAAGGAAGAUUAAUACAAGAUGGCAUCAUGAGUUCACAUGUUCACGUGAUUAAAGGUAUUCCGGUAGACGAUGGGGAUGCGUUCCAUUAGAUAGUAGGCGGGGUAACGGCCCACCUAGUCUUCGAUGGAUAGGGGUUCUGAGAGGAAGGUCCCCCACAUUGGAACUGAGACACGGUCCAAACUCCUACGGGAGGCAGCAGUGAGGAAUAUUGGUCAAUGGGCGCAGGCCUGAACCAGCCAAGUAGCGUGAAGGAUGACUGCCCUAUGGGUUGUAAACUUCUUUUAUAAAGGAAUA